AAGUCGUAACAAGGUAACCGUAGGUGAACCUGCGGUUGGAUCAUUAAUAAAUCUAGAAGGCCUCAAGGCCUCUCUAACAUCUUGUGUAUAGUACAUCGUCUUUGGCGGAUGCAAGUCCGCGAAAUAUACUCUGUAAUAAUAUUAAUCUAUAAUUAAAAACAACUUUUGACAACAGAUCUCUAGGCUCUCA
rnacentral:misc_RNA from 1 species